GGCCACCUGCGAGAUCACAAUUCACGUAAGGUUUACUCUCCUCCCGAUAUUCUCUCACCCCAUCCGAUCAGGGGGAGUGCUGCAGCGAUGGGAAGACCUAAGCCAGCCGCCGCCGCUGUCCCUGGGCAGUGCCGGUGGCGCCCUGAAGGAAUCAGGACGUCGAGGAGAACCUCUACUUCGACUACAUCACCCCUGCAUCAAGCCUGCACCAAGCAGGCGAUCAUGUCCACUGCCGUGACAUCUUCCGCUCCAUUCCGGUCCGACACGAUCGAACCACUUACGGGGAGUAACUUCCCUCGUUGGAAGUCCCAAGUCGAAUUAUGUUUGGGUUGUAAUGAGUUUGACUAUGCCUUGAGGGAAGACAAACUUGUGGCACCUGUGGCAGGUGCUACAGGGUAUGCAGAACUCAAGAAGGACUAUGAUGUUAAGAUGGAAAAGUGGAACAAGUCCAAC
rnacentral:rRNA from 1 species